rnacentral:rRNA from 1 species
AUGGGGUGACUGCGUACCUUUUGUAUAAUGGGUCAGCGACUUAUAUUCUGUAGCAAGGUUAACCGAAUAGGGGAGCCGAAGGGAAACCGAGUCUUAACUGGGCGUUAAGUUGCAGGGUAUAGACCCGAAACCCGGUGAUCUAGCCAUGGGCAGGUUGAAGGUUGGGUAACACUAACUGGAGGACCGAACCGACUAAUGUUGAAAAAUUAGCGGAUGACUUGUGGCUGGGGGUGAAAGGCCAAUCAAACCGGGAGAUAGCUGGUUCUCCCCGAAAGCUAUUUAGGUAGCGCCUCGUGAAUUCAUCUCCGGGGGUAGAGCACUGUUUCGGCAAGGGGGUCAUCCCGACUUACCAACCCGAUGCAAACUGCGAAUACCGGAGAAUGUUAUCACGGGAGACACACGGCGGGUGCUAACGUCCGUCGUGAAGAGGGAAACAACCCAGACCGCCAGCUAAGGUCCCAAAGUCAUGGUUAAGUGGGAAACGAUGUGGGAAGGCCCAGACAGCCAGGAUGUUGGCUUAGAAGCAGCCAUCAUUUAAAGAAAGCGUAAUAGCUCACUGGUCGAGUCGGCCUGCGCGGAAGAUGUAACGGGGCUAAACCAUGCACCGAAGCUGCGGCAGCGACGCUUAUGCGUUGUUGGGUAGGGGAGCGUUCUGUAAGCCUGCGAAGGUGUACUGUGAGGUAUGCUGGAGGUAUCAGAAGUGCGAAUGCUGACAUAAGUAACGAUAAAGCGGGUGAAAAGCCCGCUCGCCGGAAGACCAAGGGUUCCUGUCCAACGUUAAUCGGGGCAGGGUGAGUCGACCCCUAAGGCGAGGCCGAAAGGCGUAGUCGAUGGGAAACAGGUUAAUAUUCCUGUACUUGGUGUUACUGCGAAGGGGGGACGGAGAAGGCUAUGUUGGCCGGGCGACGGUUGUCCCGGUUUAAGCGUGUAGGCUGGUUUUCCAGGCAAAUCCGGAAAAUCAAGGCUGAGGCGUGAUGACGAGGCACUACGGUGCUGAAGCAACAAAUGCCCUGCUUCCAGGAAAAGCCUCUAAGCAUCAGGUAACAUCAAAUCGUACCCCAAACCGACACAGGUGGUCAGGUAGAGAAUACCAAGGCGCUUGAGAGAACUCGGGUGAAGGAACUAGGCAAAAUGGUGCCGUAACUUCGGGAGAAGGCACGCUGAUAUGUAGGUGAAGUCCCUUGCGGAUGGAGCUGAAAUCAGUCGAAGAUACCAGCUGGCUGCAACUGUUUAUUAAAAACACAGCACUGUGCAAACACGAAAGUGGACGUAUACGGUGUGACGCCUGCCCGGUGCCGGAAGGUUAAUUGAUGGGGUUAGCGGUAACGCGAAGCUCUUGAUCGAAGCCCCGGUAAACGGCGGCCGUAACUAUAACGGUCCUAAGGUAGCGAAAUUCCUUGUCGGGUAAGUUCCGACCUGCACGAAUGGCGUAAUGAUGGCCAGGCUGUCUCCACCCGAGACUCAGUGAAAUUGAACUCGCUGUGAAGAUGCAGUGUACCCGCGGCAAGACGGAAAGACCCCGUGAACCUUUACUAUAGCUUGACACUGAACAUUGAGCCUUGAUGUGUAGGAUAGGUGGGAGGCUUUGAAGUGUGGACGCCAGUCUGCAUGGAGCCGACCUUG